rnacentral:tRNA from 1 species
ACUCGCUUGGUGAAAUCAUGGUAAACACGAUGGAUUUAAAAUUCAUUCCAGUAUUUAAGGUUAUCGGUUCGAGUCCGAUAGCGAGUA